GGAAAUUCAUUCUUUUGAUACAUUUAUAUUGUUAUCGAAUUUAUAUCAGUGGCGGAUCCAGGUCCAAAUCCAGGACAAAACAGGGGGAAGGGGGGCCAACUUUAUGUCCCCAUUUAAAUGCAUUGAUCAUCCUAAAAACGGGUGUUCCAACCCCGGGAUUCCCCACCACUGAAUAUUAAAUUCAUGUAUUUGGCAACAAACGCGCGAUUUUUA
rnacentral:lncRNA from 1 species